UAUUUUGCCCCACUUCAUAAACUUUAGCUCUUGCAUUAACAAAACAAAUUCUUCGUAUUUUCAAAGGGAAAGCAGGAUAAAUAACUGAGUCCGAAAAUGCCCCAAGAACACAGCUAUUAUACAAAUCAACAUACCUCAAAGUUCUCCAGAAGGAGUGGAAGCUUGACAGAGAGAGGCACUUCAGUGUCAAGAAAGAGUAAGCACCAACACAGCAAAGCCCACUGUGGAGGUGGCCACCGAUCCACCCAUAUGAGCCCAGACAAGGCCUCAGAUUCAAGCCAGAAAGUAAGGAGUACAGCAAGAAAACAGAAAUUGGAAAGAUCCAUGGAACUGUGCCCCUCCUGCUUUCCCCCAUCUCUUCCCAAGCCCUUUAACACUCCACUGAGAGCUGCUGUGCUUGCUUCCACUUACAAGCCUAGACAUCUGCUCUAA
rnacentral:lncRNA from 1 species